rnacentral:misc_RNA from 1 species
UUGUGGAGGAGGACGCCGAAGGUGGGGCUAAUGACUGGGGUGAAGUCGUAACAAGGUAGCCGUACCGGAAGGUGCGGCUGGAUCACCUCCUAACAGGGAGACAACAAAAUGUUUAAUAUUAUUAUUUUGUCACCUUAGGUCGAUCGGUACCUCACGUUCUUAAUUUAUUAAGAAUUUCCUUUCCUAAGUUUUUCUAGGUCACACCCAUUAUUUUUCCUAGGCCAUUAGCUCAGGUGGUUAGAGCGCACCCCUGAUAAGGGUGAGGUCCCUGGUUCAAGUCCAGGAUGGCCCAUAUCUCUAUGUUGGGGGUAUAGCUCAGUUGGUAGAGCGCCUGCUUUGCAAGCAGGAUGUCAGCGGUUCGAGUCCGCUUACCUCCACUGAUUACCACCUCUUCCAUAACCGGUAGAAAGGAAAUGUUUUGAGUUGUGAUCAAAUUCUGAACGAAUCUAGCUUCCUAAUGAAAUCAUUAAGAUGCUGGACUCAUUGAAUUAAAUUCAUUGUUUUCAGAGAACCUUGACAACUGCAUAGAUUAUUUUUAAAGACAAUAAGCAUCUUUAUUGAUGCAGAUUUAUUAUUUGUGCGAACGCACUAAUAACAAUUCUAUUAAGCUGAUGCUUCAAUUAUGAAGUUAUUGGUCAAGCUACAA